UAAGCGGAAGAUGAAUAAUUGGCAUCAAUUCUUUUAGGAUAUCUAUUCCAUUCAAGAAAUAACUAAUUAAGACAAUUACUUCACAUGCUCGUUUAUUAAUAGUUAAAUAAUUUUAUUGUCAGAAAAUGUGAUAUAUUGCACAACAUUCUAGAAAUAUCUGAUGUUUCUGCAUAACAUAGCUUUAAGGAUUUUGCUCUGCAGCUAAUAAUUGGGAUCUUGUUCCCCAGGCCGCCCAUACAUUGUACUCUGUGGUCUCGGUUCUUCUCAUCCAUUUGUCUCCUGGGGGGAUUGGGACUCCUUGGCUUCUUUGGACACCUGGGCAACAAUCCGGAGCUCAAUUUCUGUUUUUCCUCCAGGCAGCUACUCUGGUGAUGGGACAGUCCAAAUGCACCCCCUUCACAUAUUGAAGAACAAAGGGCAAGUCGGGCGAUGUGUUGCUGAAGCAUCCAAUAGUCACAAGCUACAGAUGGUUCCUCGUAGACUCAUCAGACAACAUCUCUACUGUCUUGGCAGAGAAGCGCUGCCAGACUAACUCAGAACUUGAUAGAAUGUAAUAAGGGUGGCAUUUUAGGUGGCUUUGUUGGGCAAUUGCCCUGUGGCAGAGCAUGAAAAUGUCACAGUGGUCCUGUAUAGGAAAAAAUGGGUCCGGGCUGUUGGGACCACACAGCCAUGGGUGUUCAACACUAAAACUCCGGUACAUACUUUCCUGGAACCUUUCAAAAUAAAGUGCAUUAACCUUCUUCCAGCACAGCCAGGAAAUGGGGUAACUGCGGACUUC